CCUACGGGGUGCUGCAGUGGGGAAUAUUGGACAAUGGGCGAAAGCCUGAUCCAGCCAUGCCGCGUGUGUGAAGAAGGCCUUCGGGUUGUAAAGCACUUUCAGUGGGGAAGAAAGCCUUGGGGCUAAUACCCUCGAGGAAGGACAUCACCCACAGAAGAAGCACCGGCUAACUCCGUGCCAGCAGCCGCGGUAAUACGGAGGGUGCGAGCGUUAAUCGGAAUUACUGGGCGUAAAGCGCGCGUAGGCGGUCUGAUAAGCCGGUUGUGAAAGCCCCGGGCUCAACCUGGGAACGACAUCCGGAACUGUCAGGCUAGAGUGCAGGAGAGGAAGGUAGAAUUCCCGGUGUAGCGGUGAAAUGCGUAGAGAUCGGGAGGAAUACCAGUGGCGAAGGCGGCCUUCUGGACUGACACUGACGCUGAGGUGCGAAAGCGUGGGUAGCAAACAGGAUUAGAUACCCGAGUAGUC
rnacentral:rRNA from 1 species